rnacentral:rRNA from 1 species
UAGGGAAUCCUCCACAAUGGACGCAAGUCUGAUGGAGCAACGCCGCGUGAGUGAAGAAGGUUUUCGGACCGUAAAGCUCUGUUGUUGGUGAAGAAGGAUAGAGGUAGUAACUGGCCCUUUUAUUUGACGGUAAUCAACCAGAAAGUCACGGCUAACUACGUGCCAGCAGCCGCGGUAAUACGUAGGUGGCAAGCGUUGUCCGGAUUUAUUGGGCGUAAAGCGAGCGCAGGCGGAAGAAUAAGUCUGAUGUGAAAGCCCUCGGCUUAACCGAGGAAUUGCAUCGGAAACUGUUUUCUUGAGUGCAGAAGAGGAGAGUAGAACUCCAUGUGUAGCGGUGGAAUGCGUAGAUAUAUGGAAGAAUACCAGUGGCGAAGGCGGCUCUCUGGUCUGCAACUGACGCUGAGGCUCGAAAGCAUGGGUAGCGAACAGGAUUAGAUACCCUGGUAGUCCAUGCCGUAAACGAUGAGUGCUAAGUGUUGGGAGGCUUCCGCCUCUCAGUGCUGCAGCUAACGCAUUAAGCACUCCGCCUGGGGGAGUACGACCGCAAGGUUGAAAC